rnacentral:rRNA from 1 species
AGUGAACGCUGGCGGUAGGCCUAACACAUGCUAGUCGAACGGCAGCACAGUAAGAGCUUGCUCUUACGGGUGGCGAGUGGCGGACGGGUGAGGAAUACAUCGGAAUCUACUUUUUCGUGGGGGAUAACGUAGGGAAACUUACGCUAAUACCGCAUACGACCUACGGGUGAAAGCAGGGGAUCUUCGGACCUUGCGCGAUUGAAUGAGCCGAUGUCGGAUUAGCUAGUUGGCGGGGUAAAGGCCCACCAAGGCGACGAUCCGUAGCUGGUCUGAGAGGAUGAUCAGCCACACUGGAACUGAGACACGGUCCAGACUCCUACGGGAGGCAGCAGUGGGGAAUAUUGGACAAUGGGCGCAAGCCUGAUCCAGCCAUACCGCGUGGGUGAAGAAGGCCUUCGGGUUGUAAAGCCCUCUUUGUUGGGAAAGAAAAGCAGCAGGUUAAUACCCCGCUGUUCUGACGGUACCCAGAGAAUAAGCACCGGCUAACUUCGUG